rnacentral:rRNA from 1 species
GAUUACCUCAGUAACGGCGAGUGAAGCGGUAAUAGCUCAAAUUUGAAAUCUGGCCUCUUGGGGUCCGAGUUGUAAUUUGUAGAGGAUGUUUUGGGUACCGCCCCGGUCUAAAUUUCUUGGAACAGAAUGUCACAGAGGGUGAGAAUCCCGUCUUGGACCGGCGGUAGGGCCUGUGUAAAACUCCUUCGACGAGUCGAGUUGUUUGGGAAUGCAGCUCAAAAUGGGUGGUAAAUUUCAUCUAAAGCUAAAUAUUGGCCAGAGACCGAUAGCGCACAAGUAGAGUGAUCGAAAGAUGAAAAGCACUUUGAAAAGAGAGUUAAACAGUAUGUGAAAUUGUUGAAAGGGAAGCGCUUGCAACCAGACUUGAGCGCGGCGGUUCCCCCGGUCUUUUGGCCGGGCUACUCCGUCGUGUCCAGGCCAACAUCGGUUCUGAGGGUCGGUCAAAGGCCCUGGGAAUGUAUCUAUCCACGGAUAGACUUAUAGACCAGGGUGUCAUGCGGCCUCUCGGGACCGAGGAACGCGCUUCGGCUCGGAUGUUGGCGUAAUGGUUGUCAGCGACCCGUCUUGAAACACGGACCAAGGAGUCUAACAUCUAUGCGAGUGUUUGGGUGUCAAACCCGGAACGCGAAAUGAAAGUGAACGGAGGUAGGAAGCUUCGGCUGCACUAUCGACCGAUCCUGAAGUUUACGGAUGGAUUUGAGUAAGAGCAUAGCUGUUGGGACCCGAAAGAUGGUGAACUAUGCCUGAAUAGGGUGAAGCCAGAGGAAACUCUGGUGGAGGCUCGCAGCGGUUCUGACGUGCAAAUCGAUCGUCAAAUUUGGGUAUAGGGGCGAAAGACUAAUCGAACCAUCUGGUAGCUGGUUCCUGCCGAAGUUUCCCUCAGGAUAGCAGUAACGUUUUCAGUUUUAUGAGGUAAAGCGAAUGAUUAGAGGCCUUGGGGUUGAAACAACCUUAACCUAUUCUCAAACUUUAAAUAUGUAAGAAGUCCUUGUUACUUAAUUGAACGUGGACAUUUGAAUGUACCGUUACUAGUGGGCCAUUUUUGGUAAGCAGAACUGGCGAUGCGGGAUGAACCGAACGUGAGGUUAAGGUGCCGGAAUGCACGCUCAUCAGACACCACAAAAGGUGUCAAUGCAUCUAGACAGCCGGACGGUGGCCAUGGAAGUCGGAAUCCGCUUAGGAGUGUGUAACAACUCACCGGCCGAAUGCAUUGGCCCUGAAAAUGGAUGGCGCUUAAGCGUGCUACCUAUACCUCGCCGUUAGGGUUGACAUGAUGCCCUAACGAGUAGGCAGGCGUGGAGGUCCGUGACGAAGC